AGCAGCCGCGGUAAUUCCAGCUCCAAUAGCGUAUAUUAAAGUUGCUGCAGUUAAAAAGCUCGUAGUUGAAUUUCGGGGUCAGUAGGUCGGUCGUGCCACUGGUAUGAACUGGUUUUACUGAUUCCUCCCUCUUGAAGAACUGUAAUGCCAUUAAUUUGGUGUUGCAGGGAAUCAGGACUGUUACUUUGAAAAAAUUAGAGUGUUUAAAGCAGGCUUUAGCUUGAAUACAUUAGCAUGGAAUAAUGAAAUAGGACGUUUGAUCCUAUUUUGUUGGUUUCUAGGAUUGACGUAAUGAUUAAUAGGGAUAGUUGGGGGCAUUAGUAUUCAAUUGUCAGAGGUGAAAUUCUUGGAUUUAUUGAAGACUAACUACUGCGAAAGCAUUUGCCAAGGAUGUUUUCAUUAAUCAAGAACGAAAGUUAGGGGAUCGAAGACGAUCAGAUACCGUCGUAGUCUUAACCAUAAACUAUGCCGACUAGGGAUCGGAUGAUGUUAAUUUUUUAAUGACUCAUUCGGCGCCUUACG
rnacentral:rRNA from 1 species